GUGAAGGAGGGAUAAAUAAAAGUAAGGAGGGGUAAGUGAGUUAUAUUCCCUGUUUGAAAAGUGAAUUAAUAAAAGUUAAGGGUAAGUCUUAUUUUACCUUACCUCUCAAAUUUCAAAUUUUCUUACGCUCAAAUUGGAAAUUGGAGUAUAAGUAGGGGAGGCAAGAGCUAUAACUAUUUUUAAUUGUGCACCUCUUAAAUUUUCUUCACCUCUUCCCAAACAUAAAAAAUA
rnacentral:misc_RNA from 1 species